GAUGAUUCUGUCGAGGGUCCAUACCUCUGUGGUGGGUGUGAGCGGGUGGCAUUUCUGGAAGCUCAGGUUAGAGAUCUGGAGAGGCAAAUUUUAACACUGAGGGAAAUUGACAAUCUUGAGAGGAGUCUGCUACUCACUGAGCAGAGUUUAGUGGGGACAGGUAGUGGAGAGGGAGGAGAUGAGGCAGAUGGGGAACAGGCACGUAGCUGGG